CUCAAGUUCAGGCUGCAGCUUGAUGAGCACGCCCGCCUGUCUUAGACACCAGUAGCCAUCGCCGCAGGAUCAACUCAUCUCCCGGCUGCAGAGCCCCUCGGCAGACGCCGCCCCUGCCCCUCUGCCCGCAGGCCUGCCAGCCAUGAGGUGUCACUCAGGGUCACUUGUAAAAACUCUUAUUCUUUAUGAAAAGUACCUGUGAAGAAGUGUUUGGGAUGAACUCAUUCAGACAGCGUUCACAAAGCAGUUAGCUCUCUCUGUUUAAGUUUCCCCACUUUAUGACACAGGAGUCUGACAAGAUAAGAGGCCUCUGCUGUACUCCACCAGGCUGUUACGAUCCAGUGGUCUCUGGUUAAAACAGCUUGAAAAGGGGAAAACACUCGACAAAGGUCUGGAAGCCCUUCGAGGGAACAUUUUUGGUCUGUUUUGGAAAUGCACACCAGGUGCUUCCCACUAGCUAGGCAUGUUUGCUUUCUCUGGCCAGUUUCUCCAUCUCUCCCUUUACGCGUAAGUUCCCCUCUCUUGAGGGGUGCAGGUGAGUCCCCGGACUCCCAGGUAGCUAGUUGAAAGUGCUGAUGGCAUUGAGGUCAGGACGCCCAUGUUCUCUGCUGACUCAAGUGUGCGUGGAGCCGGGAGUGAGCAUCAGCCUGUCUGAAAGUUGAGGACCCGGCAGGUCUACUUUUUUCCCAAAAAGGAAAGAUUUACUAAAGCUGGGUGAGCAGGAGGGCUUUGGGACCUAGGGAGGCGUGGCGGUGUGAAGCGAGUGGAGAGGGCAGCUUGGCAGGGCCAGCGCGCCCCAGGGAGGAUAUCCGGAAAAGAAACUCACGGG